rnacentral:rRNA from 1 species
UACGGAGGGUGCAAGCGUUAUCCGGAUUUACUGGGUUUAAAGGGUGCGCAGGCGGAUAUGUAAGUCAGUGGUGAAAUCUCCAGGCUUAACCUGGAAAUUGCCGUUGAUACUAUAUAUCUUGAAUGCUGUGGAGGUAAGCGGAAUAUGUCAUGUAGCGGUGAAAUGCUUAGAUAUGACAUAGAACACCUAUUGCGAAGGCAGCUUACUACGGCAGAUAUUGACGCUCAUGCACGAAAGCGUGGGGAUCAAACAGG